UUACACCAAAACUAUAGCCAAAAAUCUAAACUUGCCAAUCUUAGCCUUCUAAACUCAAAUGGCCUCAAAAACUAACUCUUAUCCCUAAUAUGGCCUAGGACAGUCUCUUCAAAGCCCAUUGGUCAUGAUUUUUGACCAAUAGGAAUAGAGAUUUUCAUCAUUUAUCUCCAUUCAUCUAUAUUGGUGCCCUAAUUACUUUCUUUGCUACCAAAAUCCUUCUUCAAUCCUUUUUCUUAUAAGAUUUACAUAAUUUAUGCUCUAAACACUAAAUAAAAGAACCAAAAUAAGAUUUCAAAGGUCACCAAUGUCUAAUAAAGGUGAUUCUUAAUAUUUAGAAGUUACUAUCAAUUAAAACCAAUCUUAAAAGCCACUAUCAA
rnacentral:lncRNA from 1 species